GGGCCUUGAACGCCAUGCUGAGUUAGGAUUUCACUCUGCUGGCAACGGAGUGUCAAAGUCUUCCAAGCGGGGUCAUGGAAGCAGCAGCGUCUCAGAGAUGUUUGGAGGUGGGAAGGCAGGAAGAGAAGGCACAUCAAUGAAGCUUCCUGUCAUGACCUGCCAGCAGGGACGUGCAACCAAUCCCGUGGCCAGGGCCCAGGCUCAGAAGGGGGUCCUAGGCUUUAGCUAUAAUGUUCUGUCGUCACCGUCUCGAAAUUCUAGAUCAUUUUAUCUGUGAAUUUUUAUUUGAAUGGAAGCCUGUAUAUCACAUAUUGGAUCAGCAGAACUCACCUGGAAGGGCAGACCACGAGCCACCUCACCUGUCCCAGCUACAUUCUGAUUCCACGCAGUCCCUUGAAUUAGCAGGUGAUCUAAAGGAGAUUUUUGCCAGGCUACUCAUUAUGUUUCACACACACAGAAUAGAAAUUCAAGGACCACAGAGCUCUCAAUAAUUUCUGCUGGAGGAUAUUUUUCACAUCUGGGGUUCUGAGUUUUCACAUCACUCAGUCCUAGUAGUGGAAAGUUAGCAAAUCCCUUCUUGCCACAUCUCCUGAAUCCAGCUGUGACUUGAAAGGUUUAUCAAAGUGGAAUCAAGUUACUAAUUUAGCCCCGGGAUUCUCAACGGUAGAUGGUUUUGUCCCCUUUGGGGACAUCUGGCAAUGUCCGAAGACAUUUUUGGUAGCCGCAAUAGCGGGGCUGUAGGAUGUGCUACUAGCAUCCGGUGGGUAGAGGCCAGGAGUGCUGCUACAAUGCAAGGGUAAUCCAUCACAACAAAGAAUUAGCCAGCCCCAAACGUCAAUAGUGCUGAGGAUGAGAAAUUCUGAUUAGCCCAGCAGCCCCCAAAUGUGCAUGUGCAAGUGGUUUCAAAGAAGAAACAUUGCUUAACAAUUAAAUUAGGUUUUAUGAGAUUUUAUUCCCAGAGAGCAGACCUAGAUCACUGGGGGAAAAAUGAAAGUGAGCAUUCUGUGAGUAAGUAGAACCAUCUUUAUUUGGGAGCUCUUCUGAGGCAGUGCUUUGAGAAGUAAGGUCUUAGGACCUCCUA